rnacentral:lncRNA from 1 species
GCAGGGCAUGUAUGAGUAGUUGAGAAUGGUGGAGUAUGACUAGACAGAAAAUAGUAGGGAUGACAAGAUUUUUUUUUUGGGCGGUGGGGGCACAGUCUAAUGACUAGACAGAAAAUAGUAGGGAUGACAAGAUUUUUUUUUUGGGCGGUGGGGGCACAGUCUAAGUUGGUCUGGUGUCUGGAAUGAUACUGGGGCCUAAUAAAAAGGAGCGUCUAUACAGGAGCUUAAAUGGGCUGUACCCUGUAGCAUUCCGAGGACAGGCCUGAAUUCUGA